GCUCCUAUAGCUGAAUUGGUUAAAGCCACUGCCUCUUAAACAGGAAACUCAAGGUUCAAGUCCUUGUGGGAGCA
rnacentral:tRNA from 1 species